GCGGCUGAAGCUGGAAACUGUUGAAGGCUAGGGUUUCAACUUGAAUCGGGCCGUGUAAAUUGGGUUAGGAUAUUAGCUUUAGGAAUGGGCUGAGUUGUUUAUUGGGCCAAAUUUUGUUAUAAUAGACUGUUAUUUUAUUUUUAUUUGGUUUUUUUAUAUUUAUUUUUUUGUUAUUUGGGUCUGUUUUGCUGGUAUGGGCUCGGGCAAAAAUGGGCUCUUACAGCUGCCCCUCUUUGCUCAUUGUCGUGUAACGGGAAU
rnacentral:lncRNA from 1 species